rnacentral:rRNA from 1 species
AUUGAACGCUGGCGGCAUGCCUUACACAUGCAAGUCGAACGGCAGCAUGGAGAGCUUGCUCUCUGAUGGCGAGUGGCGAACGGGUGAGUAAUGCAUCGGAACGUACCGUGUAAUGGGGGAUAACGUAGCGAAAGUUACGCUAAUACCGCAUACGACCUGAGGGUGAAAGCAGGGGAUCGCAAGACCUUGCGUUAUACGAGCGGCCGAUGUCAGAUUAGCUAGUUGGUGAGAUAAAGGCUCACCAAGGCGACGAUCUGUAGCGGGUCUGAGAGGAUGAUCCGCCACACUGGGACUGAGACACGGCCCAGACUCCUACGGAAGGCAGCAGUGGGGAAUUUUGGACAAUGGGGGCAACCCUGAUCCAGCCAUGCCGCGUGAGUGAAGAAGGCCUUCGGGUUGUAAAGCUCUUUCGGCCGGGAAGAAAUCGCACAGGCUAAUACUCUGUGUGGAUGACGGUACCGGCAUAAGAAGCACCGGCUAACUACGUGCCAGCAGCCGCCGUAA